rnacentral:rRNA from 1 species
UCGGUGAGGUAACCCGCAAGGGAGCCAGCCGCCGAAGGUGGGGCAAGUGAUUGGGGUGAAGUCGUAACAAGGUAGCCGUACCGGAAGGUGCGGCUGGAUCACCUCCUUUCUAAGGA